UAAUGUGAUCAUAUGAGCACUAAUACACCGGAUCUCGUCAGCAAUCCAACGUAAAGCAUGUUUUGACUAGAGUGGUACUAGGAUGUGUAACUCUCAAGAAAGUCCUCGUGUUGUAUUCC
rfam:Nicotiana attenuata strain TT chromosome 10, whole genome shotgun sequence.